rnacentral:lncRNA from 1 species
AUGAGUGUAAGCAUCUCCGAAAAGGUUUUGGCAAACUAUCAGAAUCCUCAAGAGUUUCAGCAACAAUUAUGUUCUUUUUGUGGCUUUAAGGGCAUUUUAACUGUACUCAGUUUUGCAACCGACACAAACAAGUGAAUGAAUGGUGAACAUCUUUUUGUGAAUCAUUGAUCAGUAAGCGCUCUAAGUUCCACAUUUCAGUUCUUGCAGAUCACUAACUCGCACAAUUGCUCCUGUCACCACAUGAACCAGGUUUCAUAUUCUUUUCUUUCUUCGCAGUCCAUAUUAUUCUUCUAGCUAUCUAAAUUCUCCGAGGACUUAUGCUAAUGAACUUACCUUUUGAAGCAGGGUCGCCUCUCUUGGCUGUCACCAUCCUUAGAGCUUCCAUGGCUAGUUCCAAUUCGGUAGACUCCUGCAACUUACCUGCAAGAAGAGCAACGGUGUUCUCAAGAACAGAAGACCGCAACAGUCAAGGAA